rnacentral:lncRNA from 1 species
ACAUCCCUUAGCCAAAAAAGUAAUACAUCCACAUGCAUCACCGAGCAGACACUCAAAUACUGUGAAAGUUAUAUCACCGUGAUGAAAUAUUAGUAGAAAAGAGAUGGUACCAGCAUACAUCGGAAAAGGUAUUAGAGAAUAACUGUAUACCCUGAGCAUGUUUUAAUAUCUUUCAGUAUAUGAAUGUUUCUAUAUAUCAAUGUGUGCGAAGGGAGAGAGGAAUGAAAACAGAAAGAAAGAAAGAAAGAAAGAAAGAAAGAAAGAAAGAAAGAUAGAUAGGUAGAAAGAUAGAUAGAUAGAUAGAUAGAUAGAUAGAUAGAUAGAUAGAUAGAUAGAUAGAUAGAUAGAUAGACAGAUGAUAAAUCAAAAGACAGGAUACAUAAGGUAAAAAGGAGAGGUGGUAGAUGGGAGGAAUAAGAGUGAUGUAUGUAUUCACAGGCACGCGCACAAAUGUGUUUGUUACUAUUGUUUAACCCCCACCCCGCCAAGUCCGAUUUGAUUAAACUGACCUAUGGUCAAAGACAAUCCAUUUCUGACAAUUCUGUUAUUUCUCAGACAUUCUGUAUCCUGGACGAUUACGUCAUCUUAUAUGUUCUUUGAUACGACAGUAGCCAAAGCUCUGAGGGAAAUUUAGCUUCUAUUUUUAGCAGAUAGAUCAAACAUUUAGCGGUUUUUUUCGCUGCUUUGUUACACGACAAAGAAGAAGCAUUCAUUGAAUUCAUUUAAGGCAAUAUCCAUAGGUAGCCCCAGGCACCUAUCGAUAUUACCUUUAAGGAACUGGUUUCCAUUUCCUGUUAUAACUAGAUUUUCCCAUUCAACAACCUCGUUGUAGCUCACUGACCUUGUCUGAUCAGGUUCUUAUUGUUUACCUUUGAUCACGUUAGGUCAAGUAAUUGUCUUUAUUUAUCGUACUAUAUUUAUGUGUAUGCAUGCGCGCACAACGUGGUUGCGAACUUCUUCACCACAUAGCAAUGGCUGAGCUUUCGUGCUAAACUUGACAGUAUGCAUAAAAAGAAGAGAAAACACACUAUCCCACCAGAAAUAAAAGUAUGAAAAAAUUCAACUAGAUUAUAGCUGGGAGAUAACAGUUUAACCAAAGCAGCCACCUUCAGCUUCCACCACGGCCUCAAGGCGUCUGCAAAACCUAACGUAUGCGUUCCUUUCUCAGCCCCUUGGAAGAUUUUCGAACACCUCACCAGCUCGGCAUUGGUACUGCAGGUAGAGAGGUUGGUGUCUUUAUCAAUCGCGUCCCACACAUAGGUAAGCCCUGGGAUUAUAAUCGGGGGAAGUAGGAAACCAGAAAUAAGGGCUGGUGAAGUCGUAGAAAUUCUGACUCUUUCUGACGUCAUGGCGAGGAGCAGAAUUCUGCUGCUACACAUAUGGCCUUCCAGCAGCAACCCUCUCUAGCCAGGGUCUUCAUCACAGUCUAUCAUCAGAUGAGAGGCCUGAUCUGAAUGUCUACCAAAAAAAAAAAAAAAAAAAACUCCCAUUAAAGUAAGUGCUUGGAAUCCACUGAAGGCUACGUAGUAAUAUUAAAUAAAUCAACGGAUUAGGUCUAGCACUGAAAGACAAAAUGGUAAAUUUGAAUUAUAUUAGUGUGCUGUAUGAAAGAGCAGAAAUUGGGGUGUGUGUUAGAUAGCGCCAUUAUCAGAGAACAAUAACAUAUUAAAAAGGUUCUGUCCGAAACGAUAGCUUUUCCUUCUUGAGGCAAGCCUCAUGUCUCACCUUCUGCUUUCUUACUUUCGCAGACAGCUUGUUUUUUUCUUUCAUUUAUUUAUAAGAUAUUCCCUAGAUAUCAUAAUCGAGAAGAAAUAUGUUUUAUUCUUUUAUUCUUUCAUUCCUUUUUUUUUUCAAAGCAUUCUCUAAUGUUUGCCAAAAUUGCAACUGGUAAGAUAAUUGGAAGAAGAAGAAACGAAGCAGAGACCGAUUCUUUGAUAUUUCAACACUCCAGUUUUAGGAGAAUGAGAACAAAAAGAAAAAAAAAAAGAGAAAAAUAGAGGCAAACGAAACUGAUGAAAGCAACAGAAAGUGAUGCAAUGAUUACUUCUACCUGUAGUCUGAAGGAAACCACACCUUUCUCAUCAGUAGAAGAGAAUGUGUAUUUAUAUGUCAUCAAAUUUAACCGUAAGUUGCAUUUUAAACGUCAAACCUCGCCUUACUUUAGCAAAACAAAUAUAUUUUGGGAAUAUAUUUGGCAUACUUUAAGUGUAUCAUUUCAAGGAAAAAAACUGUUGGCCUAUAUAUAUAUAUAUAUAUAUAUAUAUAUAUAUACACACAUACACACACGCAUACACACACACACACACACAUACACACAUACGUACACACACACACCAAAGGAAAAAUUUUUUUAGAAAAGUUUCGUGAUACGGUCACAAUAUUUGAAAAAAACGUUUCCUUGAAUUAAAUAUUUUAAAGCAUGUUUAAAAAUUCCUUAACAAACGCGAGUUUGAAAAGUUGAAAAUAGCGAAAAGCGCUAACACAAAAUUUUCUCUCCUUCAGGUCUGUGUUGAUUUACUUUAACAAAAAACAAUUUUUACAUGUAAUUAAUAAUUUCUAAUUUAAGAAUAUCAUACAUAUAUACAUAUUAAUUAGCACAUCCAAUCUAACCUGGAUGUUCUUCUUAUAACACCGUAGGCUGCGAUGAACGUCCUCAAAAAUCAUUUCGUGUAGACGACAAAUGCUAAAAAGCAUCGAAAUACUAUAUCAGUAGGCGCAGGAGUGGCUGUGUGGUAAGUAGCUUGCUAACCAACCACAUGGUUCCGGGUUCAGUCCCACUGCGUGGCAUCUUGGGCAAGUGUCUUCUGCUAUAGCCCCGGGCCGACCAAUGCCUUGUGAGUGGAUUUGGUAGACGGAAACUGAAAGAAGCCUGUCGUAUAUAUGUAUAUAUAUAUAUGUGUGUGUGUUUGUGUGUCUGUGUUUGACCCCCUAGCAUCGCUUGACAACCGAUGCUGGUGUGUUUACGUCCCCGUCACUUAGCGGUUCGGCAAAAAAGAGACCGAUAGAAUAAGUACUGGGCUUACAAAGAAUAAGUCCCGGGGUCGAGUUGCUCGAUUAAAGGCGGUGCUCCAGCAUGGCCGCAGUCAAAUGACUGAAACAAGUAAAAGAGAAAAAGAGAAAGAGAAAAGAGAAAAGUUGACAAAAUUUCGCUAGUACCGGCGGGUGGCAGAACUGUAUCACGUGAUUUCACUGUAUUGGGGGUCAUCACCAAUAGGAUGCCAAACACCGAAUGCCAGAGAGAAAAUCAAUCAGACCCAUGUAGAAUAAUACCGAUCAGAUCACGUGAUACAGUAUUGCCAUCCGCCGGUGCUGAGAAACUUUAGUCAACCUAUAUAGAAUUUCAAUGCUUUUUAGUAUUUGUUUUCUACAAGAAAUGAAUUUUCGUGACGUUCACCGCAGUUUACGACGCCAUAAACAACGCAUCCCGGUUAGGUUGGGUGUGCUAAUUAAUAUUCGUUACAAAGGUUGCUUAUGUCGCUGAUAGUUACUUUACAUUCGGCCUGCUAGCUUUUCGCGAUUCUAGGUUUGAGAGAUUUUCUAUCUGGAAUUUAGUGCUUGGCUUCCUACUACUGAUGAACGGGAACAUGGUGACGUCACACUACAGUAGUAUCGUCCGCCGGUGCUGAUGAAAUUUAGUUAACCGAUAUAGAAUUUCGAUGCUUUUUAGCUUUUGUCGUCUACACGAAAUGAAUUUUUGGGCGGUUCAUCAAAGUCCCUUUAUUGCUAAUAGCUUACAUACAUACAUACAUACAUACAUACAUACAUACAUACAUACAUACAUACAUACAUACAUACAUAUUAGUUCAUGAGAAAAAGAGACGACAAAAGAAAACGUUGGUUAUGUUAUGAAGUUCAUCAGCUUACAGCUGUUUCUGCUAUAGUGGACUCAUAGUUGAGUGCCUGAUUAACAUUCUAUAGAUCCGUCGAAGCCUCGAAUAUGAAGUGCAUAUCCAUAUGAUACUGUGAAAACUGCAUCAUAAUGAAUGGGCUAAGUUUUCUUUACCAUAAUAUACUUCACAUUUCUUCCCCACAUGUCUAAAAGCUGCAAAUUUGGAUUUAGUAAGGAAUAGACGGCUUACUUUAGGAUAUGUGAGAUGAGACACAAACAAUCGGUAUGACUUGACGAAGAGAGCGACGAGAGUAUCUGUUAAGCUCAUAAGGGGUUGUAGCUCCUUUUUUUCAGUGAUAGUUGUAUUGAUUGUAGGAGAUUCAGAAAGAUGAAUCAACAAGAUUGCGAGCCAGUGGUUGUAGCAUUCGUGUUAGUGCUUCUCUGCCAAUUAACCGAACGACUUUUUGUGUGUGUGUUCUAGGCUAUACGGGUAUCUAGCAUUAUUACUUUCCAAAACAGUUGGAGAGUUUUUGUAGAGAACCAGUAAGCGAUCAGGGUUAAAGAAUAUUCUGUCAGGGAAGAAAAAGUACAGUCACUACAUUUCAGUUUUUUAUUGUGUUACAUGUGUGUGAGUGUCAUCACAAAUUAUCAACAGUUGUGAGACCAAUCAUUUUUGGCUAUUUCAGAGAUUCUAUGUUGUGUUUUUUGCGCACACAGAGGAUGUAGUAUUAUAAUAUAUUGUGUGUAACUAUAUUGAAAUAUAGUAGUUUGUUAUGUCUUUACUGAUAUACUUUUUCAAAGCCCCUGUUCAUAGAUGCGGGCUAUGUUUGGUCCGAAGCUAUGUAUAACUUGUGUUGGGUGUAAAUGAAGUCUCAAUGCAGAAGAUUUAAUUAGUGUGAAAAGCGGCACCAUGUACAUAGGAUUAUAUGUGCGCGGUUCAAAAUAUCUGCGAGGAAUUAUUAUUACACAGAAUGAAGAAUGUAGGCUAGAAAACUGAACUUUGGACACGCAUAACUAAGCAUUCCUAGAAUGUUGGUGAGAGUGAAACCUGUGGGAAGUGUUAUAUUUAAACCAGAGAAGUCUAAGGGAGUGCUGUCUGAGAGAAAACUUCUGAUCCACGAGAGACAGACUAAGGUAGCUUUGAUUGGAGGUUUCAUACCAGCUUACAGUUACAUUUAGGUAAGAGAUUAGAUAUUCAUUAUGUAUGUAUGUGUGUAUGUAUGUAUGUAUGUAUGUAUGUAUGUAUGUAUGUAUGUAUGUAUGUAUGUAUGUAUGUAUGUAUGUAAUUAUUCAGUUUAUUUCAAGAUUUCUUGCCAAUAGAGAAAGAAUCGGUUUCUAACCUAGAUCCAAGGCGCCUUCAUUGGAAUUUUAACAUCAAUAACAUGGUAUUUUUGUUUGUAUGCAUGUAUGUAUGUAUGCACAUAUGCACGUAUGUUUUAUGUAUGUAUUCUGAUGCAUAUAGUUGCAUAUGUGGACAUGCUCAUAUAUAUUUAAAUGAUAAACUUCUGGAAAGCUUUACAGAUUUUUACAGUUCCAGUGAUGGAUUGGAUCUGUAGACUUCGAAUUAGCUUUCUCCUUUCUGGUUCUGAGGAGCCUAAUUUCUCAAGAUUGGUAUUUAGGCAGUGUGUUACAUAUCCCAGGACCCCAAUAAUUACAGGUAUAAACCUGAACUUAUAAUGUGGAUAGAGUAAUUGCAGAUUUCUCAAUAGUUCAGCAUAGGUGUUUUCUUUUUCCCUGAUGUUUAGAUUUAUGUUAACAUCCGUGCACAACUGUGCACAGCUUCUCUUCUCUAUUCCAAAUCAUUAUAUCAGGUUUGUUGCGCUUAUAUUUUACUGAUGUCUUCAGUAAGACAUUCCACCAGUAUUCCUGUCUAUUAAGAGUGGCUGUAGCUUCUACUAUAUUAUGGGUUCUUAUUUCUUUGUCCUUGGGAUUAUCCUCCCGACCGAUUUCAUUAUAGAGUGUCCUGGCUACAUCAUCUCUCAUCGGUAGAUAAUACCGUGAUGACAUUUUCGGACAACUGCUUAUGAUGUGGGUGGUAUCUUCAGUUUGAACUCCACAAAGUUUGCAUUGGUUGUUACAUUUUACUACUUUUCCUGCAUCUCUAUCCCCUUUGUGCAUCAGGUACUUGAUUGAUAUUUCCUGUUCCUGGAUUGCAAAUGCAUACUCUUCAAAGUGGGAAGUAGCAUUACGGAUAUUGGUCCAUGAUAAACUGCUUUGAUGAUCGAUGUUACUAUCAUCACGGAGCUUUCUACUAACAUAUCCAUGCAUAAUCUUCUUGCUCAUAUAGGCUCCUUUAUUCGUCUGAUGAUACUUUGCGGUAGGGUCAUGCGACUUCUUUGGGCAUGCCUUCUAGGUUAUCAGACAAAGAGUGUUGCUCAAGGAGCUGCCUUCCAAGUUUUAUGAUGUUAUCAGUCUCAUGUAUGCAAACUUGGUCAAGAGAUGCACUUCGACACUUAGUGGUUAGAUGAUAUUGCCGAAGAAACAUGAUGCGACAUUCAAAGGCAUUUUGGAUUUAAGUUAAGCCUCUGCCGUCUUGCUUUCGUUUCAGGUUGAGGCGGAAUAUGUCACUGUUUAUAUGGAAAUUAUGUGUGUUUGUUAGUGUUUUUCGGGUUUUCACAUCAAUGACUCGGAUCUCAUCAAGCGUCUAAUCAAGCAGACCAAAAUGUUGGUAUGAGUACUGGCACUGCAAACACAUUGUGGGCCACUGUUUUAUUGAAUGAAAAGAGUUUUGAGGUCCAAAUUUUCUUUAUUCGGCUGUAAUAUUCCUUAGUAAUACGUGUUUUGUUACAAAUGCCAUUGUAAGAUAUAUUUUCAUCCAUCCCUAGUUACCUGUAAAAUUCCUCGUCAGAUACAGGGGAAACAGUCAAAUCAUUGAUGGAGAUAUUAUUAGUCCGGUUUAUAGUUUUCCCCCUUUUCACAACCAUAUCCUGACCAAACUCCAACCCUACAUCCUUUGAGGAUGUUGUAAUUAGGUCAAGGCUCUUUUCCAUCUCAUGCAUAUUCUUUGCAUAAAGUUUUAAGUCAUUCACAAAGAAGCAGUGUGUAAUUUUGGUAUUUCUGUUUCCUUGUGAAACAGGGGUUUACAGAAAGUAUAAACAACAUCACAGAAAGGCUGUCUCCUUGGAAUAUGUAUGUAUGUAUGUAUGUAUGUAUGUAUGUAUGUAUGUAUGUAUGUAUGUAUGUAUGUAUGUAUGUAUGUAUGUAUGUAUGUCAGGUCAUUCUUAGGACUACUGGUAACAUGUAAUCCAGUACAACAUGUCGAAAGAUCGGGUGGUCGGUGACUAAACCAGCAACCUUACCAAACCUGCUUGGUAAGGAAUUUGGUUUUCAUUGGACAUUCUGCAGGCUGGAAAUAAGACCUAUCAAAUGACUUAGUAGACUUAAUUCCAUCUACUCUUUGUUUAGUUGUCUCUGUAGGAGAGAGAAAUUCCGAAUUAGCACACGCCUCAUUACGAAGUCGGAGGGCUUCGCUGUCCAGAUAUUUUGCUCUUGGAUUGUAAAAGCUUAGCCUCCAAUAUAUGACGUUAUGUGGCAGCCACGAAUCACAGAAAGAUUACACUCCAUGUUAAUACUAUCAUCAUUUUGAAGUUUAAAAGAAACAUACCCAUGCAUAGCCUCUUUGUAGUAUGCAGAGCGUUUCUUACCCCGGUUUUCGUGUGUGUAUGCACGGAUGCAUGCAUUUAUAAAUGUAUGCAUGUGCAUAAGUAUUCAUGUAAGCAAGUAUGUUUGUACGAGAGUGUACACGUAUAAAUGUCAGCAAGCGUCGAUGCUAUUGCAUGUUUGCAUCUAUAUAUUUUGACUUAUACAUGCAUACACAUACAUAUAUAUUUCAUUAUCGCUAUGGGCUCCGUGUGGACAGUCAUCUAAGAGUUUUUGUUCAUCUUGAUGCUGACAUAAGUUCCUUGUUUUUUCCUGAUGAGUAGGCGGCAUAAUGCACCCCUUAUUCCUUCGAAAUUAGGAAUAUGCAGCCUUCGAAACAUAUGUCGAGAAUAAAGGAAUUUUGUUAAAUCGUCGUUCAACUCCAUUCUUUCAUUUAUUUAUAUUUCCAUGUCUGUACGUGGGUAUAUGUAGUUAUGACAUGCUAAAACUUCUGGAAUAUUUUACACAUCUUCUCAGUGCCUUUAAUGACUUGUAACUCUCAUUUCUCAAUUGGUUGGGUUCUUUCUAUUAUUGUAAAGGUACGUAUGUGCAUAUUUGUGUACGCAUAUAUGUAUGUAUGUAUGUAUGUAUGUAUGUAUGUAUGUAUGUAUGUAUGUAUGUAUGUAUGUACGUAUGUACGUAUAUAUGUGUGUAUGUAAGUACCUAUGCAUGUUUAUAUUUAAGUAUUUACGUAUAUAUGUGUAUAUACAUAGCUAUGUAUAUAUAUAUAUAUAUAUAUAUAUAUAUAUAUAUAUAUAUAUACACCACAUAUAUGCAUAUAUAUGUGUGUGUAUAUAUACAUACAUACAUACACACAUACAUAUACACACGCAUAUAUAUGUGUACGCAUGUGUGGUGUAUGCGUAUAGACCAAUUAAAUACUUUUGUACAGAGUGUAAAAUGUUUCAUUGAGGAGUUGUAAUAAGAUGGAAAUAUAUUCCUUAUUGACACCAGUUUAUUUUAAAGUCCAGAUCCACUCCAAUCAGUACUUUCUGCAUUACCCAAAAAAUUCGGUCAACUGAUCUUUUUCAUUUUAGACAUCGUAGAGGGAGUUUUAUUGACUAAUUGCUAGGAUAAUCUCAGCAGAUCAAAGUCUUUCAACACACUAUAUUGCAUAUAUGAAGCUGUACUAAGUUAAGAAACUAUUACUAAUACUAGUAUUAGUAAUACUAGUAUUAGUAAUACUAGUAUGCUUAGCGGCAUUUCAUUUGUCUUCAAGUUUAGAGCUCAAACUCCGCUGGGGUCGACUUAGCCAUUCAUUUUGGGUCGUUGAAGUAAGCAUCAGUCGAGCACUGGAGCCGAUGUAAUCAACUAACACCCCCUCCUUCGCCCAAAUUUCAGGCCAUGUGCCUAUAGUAGGAAUGAUUUGCAUUUGACCCUGUGGCUAAUUAAAGAAAUCUUCAUUAUCGUCGUCACUGAGUGAAAGAUCAGCGCAUGCCAUCAAAGUGACGCUGGGGUAAAAUGUACGAAGCCCAAUAUACCCAUCAUGACUACCCGUUUCAUAAGAGUACACCAAGCUUUGCACCACAACCAUAUCUUUCUUCUUUUCUUUCAUCUUUUACUUGUUUCAGUCAUUUGACUGCGGCCAUGCUGGAGCACCGCCUUUAGUCGAGCAAAUCGACCCCGGGACUUAUUCUUUGUAAGCCCAGUACUUAUUCUAACGGUCUCUUUUGCCGAACCGCUAAGUGACGGGGACGUAAACACACCAGCAUCGGUUGUCAAGCAAUGCUAGGGGGACAAACACAGACACACAAACACAUACACACACACACACACAUAUAUAUAUAUAUAUAUAUAUAUAUAUAUAUAUACAUAUAUACGACAGGCUUCUUUCAGUUUCCGUCUACCAAAUCCACUCACAAGGCAUUGGUCGGCCCGGGGCUAUAGCAGAAGACACUUGCCCAAGAUGCCACGCAGUGGGACUGAACCCGGAACCAUGUGGCUAGUUAGCAAGCUACUUACCACACAGCCACUCCAUGUGCAUGACAUGGGAACUUCAUAUCAACAUAAAAAGCUCAUGACUUAGCAGGUGGGCCCAGUUAGAAUUUUCUUCAGGUCGAGUAGCCCAUCCCGUUCAAAAGGUUCCUGCAUAAGGGUUGUCUAAGGAUGGUGAACGAAACACUCGUGUUUCUAGAAGUGAAUUAUCCCAACCACGUGCCAUAUUCGCCACUACUCCUACUCAUGAUAAGAAAUGCACAUAUCGUUAGCACAACUGGUUAUGAUCAAGCAACUGACGAGCGAAUCUGUGGUAUUGAGCAGAAUAUUUACUGUAGUCCAUCUUUUAUAUCAAAAGGAAACAUAUACAUGAUAUUACUUCCAAUCAGUUAAGAUCAGAAGCAUGAGAGCCAUUGCCUGGUACUGCAUCAGGGCAUAUAUUAUUAUUACUGUCACUAUUUUCAUUAUCAUCUUCCUUCAAUUCUGUUUCUAUUUCUUGCCGAGUGUCCUCCUGAUACCUAGGGCGGAGAAACGCAUUGUAUACAAUGGUAGGCUAUUAAAAUAAACACACCUGAUUGCUCAUUUGCAAAGUCAUGU